rnacentral:lncRNA from 1 species
GCCUGCCCGAAGAGGCGGCGCUGGGAGCAGCUCCAGAGACAGGAGAAGCUGCGAGAGGCAAGGAGCCCCCAGUGUUGGCCGCCCCCCGCCCUUUCCCUGGGCCGAGGAGAGGCAAGGACUGCCGAAAGGGCGGCAGCAAGAAGCAGGAAUCUGCGCUCCCCAGCACCACGGGGACUGGAGAGCCCUCCUUCCCUACCCAUUCCCAGAUCGCCGCCCAGCCCCCUCCGCUGCCUCCCCGGGCUCCUGAGCUCAGUCUCCGAGAACCCCCUCCCCUUUUCCCGUCCGGCCCUUUGAAAUCUGAAGGAUGGUGA